UACGAAGGGGACUAGCGUUGUUCGGAAUCACUGGGCGUAAAGCGCACGUAGGCGGAUUUGUAAGUCAGGGGUGAAAUCCCGGGGCUCAACCUCGGAACUGCCUUUGAUACUGCGAAUCUUGAGUCCGAUAGAGGUGGGUGGAAUUCCUAGUGUAGAGGUGAAAUUCGUAGAUAUUAGGAAGAACACCAGUGGCGAAGGCGGCCCACUGGAUCGGUACUGACGCUGAGGUGCGAAAGCGUGGGGGAGCAAACAGGG
rnacentral:rRNA from 1 species